GACGAAGGGGGCAAGCGUUGUUCGGAAUUACUGGGCGUAAAGCGCGUGUAGGUGGUUAUCCAAGUCAGGCGUGAAAGCCUUGAGCUCAACUCAAGAAAUGCGCUUGAUACUGGGUGGCUAGAGGACCGGAGAGGAUAGUGGAAUUCCCAGUGUAGUGGUGAAAUACGUAGAGAUUGGGAAGAACACCAGUGGCGAAGGCGGCUAUCUGGACGGUUUCUGACACUAAGACGCGAAAGCGUGGGGAGCAAACAGG
rnacentral:rRNA from 1 species